GGACACUCUGUUCUGUCUCCCAACCCAAGCUGGAUUCACUCACCAUCUGGAGUGGACAUUGGCCCAAAUCCUGAGGACACAACCCUGUUUGCGAUUGGCAUCUGUGCAGCCUGACUCGGGAUAGCUCCCAUCUGCCUGAGGUCCAGGCUUUGGCUUAGGCUGAACGCUACCUGCUUGCCAGAUUCCACCCAAGGAAUGCCUGCCGCCUUGCCUUUGCCCAGCUGUGUGAUGUCUGGGACCAGCUUUCAAAAGAGACUUGACCUGGGACGUGAGCUACCCUGGGGUAAGGGAAAGGGUCAUUUUCUUCUCAAAAUGUUCUAGCUUGUGUCAAGUUGAGAAAAACUAACAGCACUGCCUUAGUCAGGGUUUCUAUUCCUGCACAAACAUCAUGACCCAGAAGCAAGUUGGGGAGGAAAGGGUUUAUUCAGCUUACACUUCCACAUUGCUGUUCAUCACCAAAGGAAGUCAGGACUGGAACUCAAGCAGGUCAGGAAGCAGGAGCUGAUGCAGAGGCCAUGGAGGGAUGUUCCUUACUGGCUUGCUUCCCCUGGCUUGCUCAGCUCGCUCUCUUCUAGAACCCAAGACCACCAGCCCAGGGAUGGCACCACCCACCAUGGGCCCUCUCCCCCCCCCCCAUCACUAAUAACAAGAUGUAGAACUCUCAGCUCCUCCAGUACCACACCUGCCUGGAUGCUGCCAUGCUUCCUGCCAUGAUGAUAAUGGACUGAACCUCUGAGCCUUUACACCACCCCCAAUUAAAUGUUGUUCUUUAUAAGAGUUGCCUUUGUCAUGGUGUCUCUUCACAGCAAUGAAAACCCCAAGACAGAAGUCUUCCCUAGAGGCACCAUCCCUCACCCUUUUCUGUUUUGCCUAAAACAUUAUUUCCCAGCACCUCCAGAGAUGCUAUAUGACCUGUAUCUGAGAAC
rnacentral:lncRNA from 1 species